CUCUGGCAACGACGUCCAUCCUCACAUGCAUUUUCAGUUGCGUCUUGAGAUACAUACUAUCUUGAGUUUGGUAUCGGUUUCUUGUGUUGCGUACCUAAUGAUGGCAAUCGGUAGUCUAAAUAUCAAAUUUUGCCUUUCAUUAUUCCUUUUGGGUGAUGUAGGGUGAACCACAAAGCAAUCUCUGUGUCCCACUCCACUCACUAAAUUGUGCUUGUGGAUUGGUCCAUAGGGUAUUUGCUUGAUCUCUUGGAUGCGGUGCAUUGUAUAUGGGCAUGAGGUCUCGCGUCCUCUUUUUGCCCAAACAAAAGCUUUCGAUGCUUAGUUGCGAACGAUUGCCAUCCUCGUUUCGAGCCUUUUGGCUAGUGCGGUGAUGGCUUCGUU
rnacentral:misc_RNA from 1 species